GCGUUUGUGAAAUGAUCUUUAUGAGCCGAUGCAAUGGUGAGAUGCUCGGGUACUGCCCUCCGAAGGCAGGGGUUGCUGGUUCGAUCCCAGCCGGGCGCGCCA
rnacentral:tRNA from 1 species